ACAACAUUCGGACCGUCGGUGUACUGAGCAAUCACCCGCUCGGUGGAAGACCUUCCCUUUCUCGU
rnacentral:pre_miRNA from 1 species